rnacentral:lncRNA from 1 species
CGGCGGCGCGAGGAAAGGGCGUAGCUCCGUAGUUAGCGCCCUACCACAGAGACCAGAUAGCAGCACCCUAAGUCGGCUUCUUAGGGGUAUAAGAAAAGAAAAGAAAAGAAUCGAUGUUGUAAUAUUAUGUUUAGAAAUCGAUUGUAUAUUUGGAAGUUGAGAAUCAAUGUAAUGAAAAAAUGCGAUGUAAAAUGAUGAGAUGAAUGAUUGUAAUAAUAUAGGAUGUGUUAUGUUGUUUGAUACCUUCCUUAUGCAAUCGUUGUUGAAAAUUGUUCCUGUUUGGAACCUCUUGUAAUUGUAUUGAUUGCGACGCCUUGAACGUACAGGGGAGACUCUGUCCGCAUGCAGGGGAAACCCUGUCCGUUCGGCGGUCUGUUGGCGUGCCCGAAUCCGACCAAAGAGGCGGGCUCGGGGCGUGACAGCGCCACUAGGCCCAAAACUAUAAAAGUGGGUUAGUGUACAAGUAUAAGCCAAAGCGAUAAGAA